rnacentral:rRNA from 1 species
CGAACGGCAGCACAGGGAGCUUGCUCCCGGGUGGCGAGUGGCGCACGGGUGAGUAAUACAUCGGAACGUGUCCUGUUGUGGGGGAUAACUGCUCGAAAGGGUGGCUAAUACCGCAUGAGACCUGAGGGUGAAAGCGGGGGAUCGCAAGACCUCGCGCAAUUGGAGCGGCCGAUGCCCGAUUAGCUAGUUGGUGAGGUAAAGGCUCACCAAGGCGACGAUCGGUAGCUGGUCUGAGAGGACGACCAGCCACACUGGGACUGAGACACGGCCCAGACUCCUACGGGAGGCAGCAGUGGGGAAUUUUGGACAAUGGGGGCAACCCUGAUCCAGCCAUGCCGCGUGCAGGAUGAAGGCCUUCGGGUUGUAAACUGCUUUUGUCAGGGACGAAAAGGACCGUGUUAAUACCAUGGUCUGCUGACGGUACCUGAAGAAUAAGCACCGGCUAACUACGUGCCAGCAGCCGCGGUAAUACGUAGGGUGCAAGCGUUAAUCGGAAUUACUGGGCGUAAAGCGUGCGCAGGCGGUUCUGUAAGACAGAUGUGAAAUCCCCGGGCUCAACCUGGGAAUUGCAUUUGUGACUGCAGGACUAGAGUUCAUCAGAGGGGGGUGGAAUUCCAAGUGUAGCAGUGAAAUGCGUAGAUAUUUGGAAGAACACCAAUGGCGAAGGCAGCCCCCUGGGAUGCGACUGACGCUCAUGCACGAAAGCGUGAGGAGCAAACAGGAUUAGAUACCCUGGUAGUCCACGCCCUANACGAUGUCUACUGGUUGUUGGGGUUUUUNAACCUUGGU